rnacentral:rRNA from 1 species
AGUGAACGCUGGCGGUAGGCCUAACACAUGCAAGUCGAACGGCAGCACAGUAAGCGCUUGCUCUUACGGGUGGCGAGUGGCGGACGGGUGAGGAAUACAUCGGAAUCUACUUUUUCGUGGGGGAUAACGUAGGGAAACUUACGCUAAUACCGCAUACGACCUACGGGUUAAAGCAGGGGUUCUUCGGACCUUGCGCGAUUGAAUGAGCCGAUGUCGGAUUAGCUUGUUGGCGGGGUAAAGGCCCACCAAGGCGACGAUCCGUAGCUGGUCUGAGAGGAUGAUCAGCCACAAUGGAACUGAGACACGGUCCAGACUCCUACGGGAGGCAGCAGUGGGGAAUAUUGGACAAAGGGCGGAAGCCUGAUCCAGCCAUACCGCGUGGGUGAAGAAGGCUUUCGGGUUGUAAAGCCCUUUUGUUGGGAAAGAAAAGCAGCAGGUUAAUACCCCGCUGUUCUGACGGUACCCAAAGAAUAAGCACCGGCUAACUUCGUG